AAGCUCUGGCUCCUGUGCAUUUCGCAUAAAUCUUUCGCCUUUUACUAAAGAUAUCCGUGCGCAGGAGCGUUUAUGAAAACAGAGUUUGAAUUUUGCUUUAAUAUAUAUAUAUAUAUAUA
rnacentral:snRNA from 1 species